rnacentral:lncRNA from 1 species
AUGUAUUACCCAGCCCUCGUGGUACACUCUGUUCCAGGAAAGCAUGGUAGCAAUGCUCAUCAUCCCAUCCUUGAUGGAAGCACCGAGGGAAAUAUCUCCCAGCAUGAGACCUGCACUGGAAAUACUCACAUAAAGCCAGGAGGUUCCUCACAACUCACCAGCCCCUCAGCUCUGCAGGAGGGAAGCUCAGAAAUUGCUGGAGCUGUUGCUGUGGCUGGAAAUCACCAGGAGAGGAUGAGGUCUCAUGGGCAAGACCAGUGGCAGAACAAAAAACCCAAAGGGCAGAAAUGCCCUGCAAAAUCUUUUUGCUGGUAUUUUGUCUUUGAAGCUCAUCCCUGCAGGUAUUUUGCUAAAGCCAAAUUCACUGGUGUUGUCAUGAGGGUUUUUUCAGCCAUUCCUGCAGCAAACAUUGCUUACCUGGCAUCUGACCUCCUUUCGUACUGGUGAUUCUUAUCUCUGAGUUGAGCAAAGCUCAUGAAAUAUGAUUUCAUCUGCUAGGGAAGCAGGUAAGAAGGAUAAGAAGAGAUAAGAAGGAACUGGUUGGCCAGUGUGAGAUGCAAAGGAGAUUAGAGGACCUUUGCAUCACUCCUGUACAAACAAGGUGGCUGAUGAAGCCUGUGAGAAGCGAUGAUCAAGGCUCACCCCACAAUAUCUGGUGCAUCUGCAUUUUGAUGGGACUGAGUCUCUGGCUUUUUUUUCUUUCGUGUCUGUGUAUGUUUUGAUUAUACACAAAACACCAAAAUAAAAUCAACAAUUUAUACCCCGUUAUCUGCCCU